rnacentral:rRNA from 1 species
CCUACGGGAGGCAGCAGUGAGGAAUAUUGGACAAUGGANGAAAGUCUGAUCCAGCCAUGCCGCGUGCAGGAUGACGGCCCUAUGGGUUGUAAACUGCUUUUAUACAGGAAGAAACACUCCCACGUGUGGGGGCUUGACGGUACUGUACGAAUAAGGAUCGGCUAACUCCGUGCCAGCAGCCGCGGUAAUACGGAGGAUCCAAGCGUUAUCCGGAAUUAUUGGGUUUAAAGGGUCCGCAGGCGGUCUAUUAAGUCAGAGGUGAAAUCUUGCAGCUCAACUGUAAAAUUGCCUUUGAUACUGGUAGACUUGAGUCAUUGUGAAGUGGUUAGAAUGUGUGGUGUAGCGGUGAAAUGCAUAGAUAUCACACAGAAUACCRAUUGCGAAGGCAGAUCACUAACAAUGUACUGACGCUCAUGGACGAAAGCGUGGGGAGCGAACAGGAUUAGAUACCCUGGUAGUCCACGCCGUAAACGAUGGAUACUAACUGUUCGACCUUCGGGUUGAGUGGUUAAGCGAAAGUGAUAAGUAUCCCACCUGGGGAGUACGCUCGCAAGAGUGAAACUCAAAGGAAUUGACGG